rnacentral:rRNA from 1 species
UACGUAGGUGGCGAGCGUUGUCCGGAUUUAUUGGGCGUAAAGCGCGCGCAGGUGGUGCGGUAAGUCUGUCGUGAAAUCUCCUGGCUCAACUGGGAGGGUGCGGUGGAGACUGCCGGACUGGAGGCACUCAGAGGCCGGUGGAAUUCCCGGUGUAGUGGUGAAAUGCGUAGAGAUCAGGAGGAACACCAGUGGCGAAGGCGGCCGGCUGGGGGUGACCUGACGCUGAGGCGCGAAAGCGUGGGGAGCGAACAGG